AUGGACUCGCUCCUGCAAGACCGGAGAGGCCUCUCGUACGCCAGCUCCUCUGUGAGAAAUGAUUCAGUAAGAAGGAAACCCGCCACGUCCUCCCCUGACUACAGCCGCCGGCCUCCCGCAACCUACCCAGGCUGCGUCGCUGUCGAAGAAGGAACUAUGGGAUCUCAUUCAGGAUUCAGAGUUUGA
rnacentral:rRNA from 1 species